GAUGAACGCUAGCGGCAGGCCUAAUACAUGCAAGUCGAACGGUAAGUAUUUUAGCAAUAGAAUACGAGAGUGACGUACGGGUGCGUAACACGUAUGCAACCUACCCUUUACAGGAGGAUAGCUCGGGGAAACUCGAAUUAACCCUCCAUGAGAUCACAGUGUGGCAUCACACAGUGAUUAAAACUCCGGUGGUAAAGGAUGGGCAUGCGUCUGAUUAGUUAGUUGGCGGGGUAACGGCCCACCAAGACGAUGAUCAGUAGGGGAACUGAGAGGUUGAUCCCCCACACUGGCACUGAGAUACGGGCCAGACUCCUACGGGAGGCAGCAGUAGGGAAUAUUGGUCAAUGGAUGGAAGUCUGAACCAGCCAUGCCGCGUGCAGGAAGAAGGCCUUCUGGGUUGUAAACUGCUUUUGCCAGGGGAUAAAAAGACCAUGCGUGGUUAAUUGAAGGUACCUGGUGAAUAAGCCACGGCUAACUACGUGCCAGCAGCCGCGGUAAUACG
rnacentral:rRNA from 1 species